UCUUUUGUUUGAUUGUUUUGCAGAAAGUUUCGAUAUGAAUGCACAAACCUUCAGCUAUAUAAAAGGCAGAAGCUGAAAGCUCAAAGCAAGACAUCAGAGAAGACAAGAUGAGAGCUGCUUUGAUACAAGACAAGACCUGCAAUCUAGAAGGUGAGGUACCUGCUUGCUCAAAGGUACAGCAGCAGUGUGUCUCCCCACCUUGGAUUGAACCCACACAAGACCCCCGGUCAAGAGUCCAGAGCCCUAACCACUACUCCACACUGCUGCCGUUAACCAUGGAGCAAUAUAGAAUGACUUCACAAAUAGAACAAGCUGUGGCUUCAAUUCGCAGAUCGAUGUGUGUUGGCAUUGAGAUCAGCAAUAACAGCAAAUUCAUACUAAAAUCACCAGAGGUAUAUGUCUAUGGUGGUGUUCUGCGAAGCCCACCACAACCAAGAAUUGAUCCAGGAAACAGUGGAAUCUGCAUUUUUACAAAGUACUUGUACUCACUGUGUGGUGUAGAGGGGAUGCUCAGCUACGACGUGAAUGGAAAGAGACUUUGCUUGAUGUUUUCUAACCCUCUCUGGGUAUAUUUGUACAACAGGAAAUUCAAUUUGAUGUUCUACGGCAUAGAGGAUUCUAUAAAUGAGCAGUUAUUUAAUAAAAUGGGUUUAGAAAAUGAAGCUGGCAACAUCUGUAUUGUUGGAGACAGUUCGUUAUCAAAGAUCACAGCUCGUGGUGGAGAUGUAGAAGUAACAGCCACAAUGUCUUCAUCUAUGAAAUCCAUCAUUAAAAUUGAUAUCAGGGAUGUGUGAUGUGACAUGGCAUUGUAGCAAUAUGUUCACUUUGUAUGGUAAACUUCACAGAUCUCUAUGGCUUUUUAAAUGCUUGUUAUUGUCUGUUGUGCUUUUGUUUUUAUUGUGAUCUAAAACUUAUUUUUGUAAGUGUGUUUAUAAGCAGCUGUUUAAGGCACUCUAAGUUGAAUACGUUAUUGUACAGGUGAAGGAGGUCACAUGAACAGGUUUGA